AAACUUAAGAGUUUGAUCCUGGCUCAGAACGAACGCUGGCGGCAGGCCUAAAACAUGCAAGUCGAACGCUCUAGCAAUAGAGAGUGGCGCACGGGUGCGUAACGCGUGGGAAUGUGCCCUUGGGUGCGGAAUAACGUAGGGAAACUUACGCUAAUACCGCAUAAUGACUCCGGUCCAAAGAUUUAUCGCCCAAGGAUCAGCCCGCGUCUGAUUAGCUAGUUGGUGAGGUAAAAGCUCACCAAGGCGACGAUCAGUAGGGGGUCUCAGAGGAUGAUCCCCCACACUGGAACUGAGACACGGUCCAGACUCCUACGGGAGGCAGCAGUUAGGAAUAUUGGACAAUGGGCGCAAGCCUGAUCCAGCCAUGCCGCGUGAGUGAUG
rnacentral:rRNA from 1 species